rnacentral:rRNA from 1 species
UGGGGAAUAUUGGACAAUGGGCGAAAGCCUGAUCCAGCAAUGCAGCGUGUGUGAAGAAGGCCUGCGGGUUGUAAAGCACUUUCAGUCGGGAGGAAAAGCCGAAGGUUAAUAACCUUUGGUCUUGACGUUACCGACAGAAGAAGCACCGGCUAACUCCGUGCCAGCAGCCGCGGUAAUACGGAGGGUGCAAGCGUUAAUCGGAAUUACUGGGCGUAAAGCGCGCGUAGGUGGUUUGUUAAGUCGGAUGUGAAAGCCCCGGGCUCAACCUGGGAAUUGCAUUCGAUACUGGCAGACUAGAGUAUGGUAGAGGGAAGUGGAAUUCCAGGUGUAGCGGUGAAAUGCGUAGAUAUCUGGAGGAACAUCAGUGGCGAAGGCGACUUCCUGGACUAAUACUGACACUGAGGUGCGAAAGCGUGGGUAGCAAACAGGAUUAGAUACCCUGGUAGUCCACGCCGUAAACGAUGUCAACUAGUUGUUGGGAGGGUUAGACCUCUUAGUGACGCAGCUAACGCAUUAAGUUGACCGCCUGGGGAGUACGAUCGCAAGAUUA